rnacentral:rRNA from 1 species
AACGAACGCUGGCGGCAUGCCUAACACAUGCAAGUCGAACGAGAUCUUCGGGUCUAGUGGCACACGGGUGCGUAACGCGUGGGAAUCUGCCCUUUGGUUCGGAAUAACAGUUGGAAACGACUGCUAAUCUCGGAUGAUGACGAAAGUCCAAAGGCUUAUCGCCAGAGGAUGAGCCCGCGUAGGAUUAGCUAGUUGGUGUGGUAAAGGCGCACCAAGGCGACGGUCCUUAGCUGGUCUGAGAGGAUGAUCAGCCACACUGGGACUGAGACACGGCCCAGACUACUACGGGAGGCAGCAGUGGGGAAUAUUGGACAAUGGGCGAAAGCCUGAUCCAGCAAUGCCGCGUGAGUGAUGAAGGCCUUAGGGUUGUAAAGCUCUUUUACCCCCGAUGAUAAUGACAGUACCGGGAGAAUAAGCUCCGGCUAACUCCGUGCCAGCAGCCGCCGUAA